rnacentral:lncRNA from 1 species
ACUGCUGUGUUCCCAUUCGCUCUGUCCCCGACAGGAUUGGAAGCAGGGGGCCCGCGGCCGUUGCCUUGGCCCUUCUGGCUUCUAGGAAGCCAUUCUUGGAAGAGGAAGCACUUCUUUUUAUCCAGAUGGAAAAGGGAGGCCAGGAAAGCUUUUGCCACUGACGAAGCCCGGGCACCAUGAAUGCAAGCGACUUCCGCCGGCGGGGGAAGGAGAUGGUGGAUUACGUGGCUGACUACCUGGAGGGCAUCGAGGGUCGCCAGGUGUACCCCGACGUGCAGCCCGGCUACCUGCGCCCCCUGAUCCCCGCCACCGCCCCCCAGGAGCCAGACACGUUUGAGGACAUCCUUCAGGACGUUGAGAAGAUAAUCAUGCCGGGGGUGACCCACUGGCACAGCCCCUACUUCUUCGCCUACUUCCCCACGGCCAGCUCGUACCCGGCCAUGCUCGCCGACAUGCUGUGUGGGGCCAUUGGCUGCAUCGGCUUCUCCUGGUGGACGCACGCAUCCCGUGGCCGCCCAGGCCAGAUGUUCUCUAUCAAGUUGAAGGAAUUCUGCUCUAAUCCUAAAUUUGCUGUGGCGUCGACAGCUCUCCAGGACGCCCUUGAGAGAGGAGCAGCAGGUCUGCUUCUUCCUCUCCAGGUGGUGGCUACGCUGGGGACCACAUCGUGCUGCUCCUUUGACAAUCUCUUAGAAGUGGGACCCAUCUGUCAUGAAGAGGACAUAUGGCUGCACGUGGAUGCUGCCUACGCAGGCAGUGCCUUCAUCUGCCCUGAGUUCCGGCACCUGCUGAAUGGAGUGGAGUUUGCAGAUUCAUUUAACUUUAAUCCCCACAAAUGGCUCUUGGUGAAUUUUGACUGCUCGGCUAUGUGGGUGAAAAGGAGAACGGACCUGACUGGAGCCUUCAAAUUGGACCCCGUGUACUUAAAGCACAGCCACCAGGACUCGGGGCUUAUCACGGACUACAGGCACUGGCAGCUGCCACUGGGUCGGCGAUUCCGGUCCCUGAAAAUGUGGUUUGUUUUCAGGAUGUACGGAGUCAAGGGACUGCAGGCCUAUAUCCGCAAGCACGUGCAGCUGUCUCAUGAGUUUGAGGCAUUUGUGCUUCAGGAUCCCCGCUUUGAAGUCUGUGCCGAAGUCACCCUGGGGCUGGUGUGUUUCCGGCUGAAGGGCUCCGACGGACUGAAUGAAGCGCUUCUGGAAAGGAUAAACAGCGCCAGGAAAAUCCACUUGGUUCCCUGUCGCCUGAGGGGUCAGUUCGUGCUGCGGUUUGCCAUCUGCUCGCGCACGGUGGAGUCGGGCCACGUGCGGCUGGCCUGGGAGCACAUCCGAGGGCUGGCGGCCGAGCUGCUGGCCGCGGAGGAGGGAAAGGCAGAGAUCAAAAGUUGAAGUGCCCUGAAGAGCAGAAUCGGAGGAGACGCGUCGUCCCCGCUCCGAGGCGUAGAGCCUGCAUGUGGUCCCCCCACUUCUUUAGCCCACGUUCUCCAGAAAGAAGCUUGUGCCUACGUCUGACCAGCCUCUCAGCAAUGAAGAAGUAUUAUCUGCUCUUUGAAAAGUUAAUCCCAGUGGAGACAGCUUUUACUCUUUAUUUGGCUGUGAUUGUUUGUUGAUUAAAACAUCAUAGGUUUCUGCAUCCUUGAAGUUGUCAGCGGUGGUCCACUUUCCGGGGCAACCUAUGCUGAUGGGAUUUGAGAUGAUACCCGUGGUCUUUAAAUUACUCUGUCCUGUGGCUUAGUGCUUAAUAAAUGAUGUGAAG